ensembl:lncRNA
AAUGUAUGCCGAUACGUGGCUGUAAUAAAUGGUAGAAGUAGAUAAGCUGCAACAAAUGUAACAAAAAGCGGUUGGUCCGCCUAACAACAAACAACAAACAUGGAGAGAGGAAUCCAGCAGCAAUUGGUUUCCCUUGGGCAAGUAAUAACAGUUCUUUCAGUCAAGUUAUCAUUGGCUAUUUUAACUGCUAUCCGCAGACAAAAAAACAGAGAAAUUGCAAUGUACACAGCGGUAGAAAGGGAAAUACGAGGACGACGUCGAGGGCCUUACGUAUGGGAGAGACAGCGCCAGCAUGACUUCUGGGAGGUCAUAGUGGAAGGACAUUUCACAGCCGGCCUUUGGCUACAACAUUUUUGAAUGACCAAGCCCACUUUUGUAAUGUUGUGCAACGCAAUUGGUCCAUUCGUUGGUCCUAAGCCAAGCCCUGGACGACGUCCGAUUCCAACAGAAAAACGCAUUGCCAUCGCAUUGUACAAGUUGGCAACCUGUGCUGAAUACCGAGUUGUGGGAGAGACAUUUGGUGUAAGCAAAACAAGCGUUCACCGUUGUGUGUACGAUACAAGUUGUUGGCUAAAUUUGUCAAAAUACCCAACGUGGCCGAGGCCCAGGCAAUAGCGCACCGCAACUCAAUGAAGCACCAAGUACCACAGGUGUACGGUGCACUGGAUGGGACCCAUAUUCCGAUCCUUCCACCAUCUGAUGGAUACCGGGACUACGUCAACCGCAAAGGGUGGCCCUCAAUUGUGUUACAGGCGCUUGUGGAUGAUCGGUAUCAAAUCAGAGAUAUUUGUGUUGGAUCACCCGGCAGUGCGCAUGACGCAGCUGUAUUCACCAUGUCCAACUUGUACAGAUUCCCAGAGAAACAUCCUCAAGCCAACGCAGAUGUAGAGGGGGUCCAGGUGCCUCUACUGAUAGCUGGAGACCCAGCAUAUCCGUUACUGCCAUGGCUCAUGACAGGGUUUUCUGGUCCAAACCUUUCAGAAGAGCAAGAGGCUUUCAACUUCCAGCUCAGUGCUAUCCGUGUGUAGGUUGAGCACACAUUUGGGCACCUUAAGGGGAGGUGGCGUAUUCUUGCCAAGCGGUCAGAUGUGCACCACUCCUUCAUGCCAACAGUUGUGGUUGCAUGUUGUGUGUUACACAAUAUGUGUGAGAAAGAGAAGCAGCAGCGCCCACCUGGAGCCCCCUGUGAACCCCCAACCCCAGCGACCUCAUCAGGACUAUAAUGAACCACCAAACGGAGAGGCCCAGGCUAUCAGGGCUGCCCUUGUCCAUCACGUGGUUAAAGGUCCCAUGACAUGAAAAUCUCACUUUAUGAGGUUUUCUAACAUAAAUAUGAGUUCAUCUAGCCUGCCUAUGGUCCCCCAGUGGCUAAAACUUGCGUUUGGUGUAAAACGAGCACUAGCUGUUCUGCUCGCCUUUGAAAAAACGGAGGCUCAAGUGCGCUGAUUUGGAAUGUCUGUAUUUAGGACGUCACCAAGAAUCUCAGCUCCUCCCCUUAAUCUAACUGGCCCGCCCAGAGACGUUGGCCCGCCAAUGAGACUCGACCGUGCGAGCGCCACAUGUGUGUGUGUGAAUACACACACUGUAACGCAAGUAGCACUUAAAUACGUAGUAGUUAGAAGUAAUAAAUGUAUGCAUUAUGUUAUUUGCUCAAUUUUGACAACCUCUUGGUAGCCUACCCUAAAAAGCACAUUUAACUGUGACUGAUCCAAAACUAAGGAAAUCCUUUACUAUGUACAGACUCAGUGAGCACAGCCUCAUCGAGAGAGGCCACCACAGGCCUGUGAAGUAUAUUGGAUAUAUUCAAUAUAUAUUCAAUACAUAUUCAAUUUAUCCAAUAUAUAUUUUGGAUAUAUUGAAUAUAUAUAUAUACUGGAUAUAUUCAAUACCCAGCCAAUUUAGCCUGCCAUAUUCAUCACCCCUCUCCUAUUUCUUGUUUGCAAAGUCUGAGAAACGUAUUGACGGCUGAGUGUUGACAAAAUUUUCUUCAUUAUGAAGUCUUCGGCUUUGAACUUCAGGUGACCUUUCACCAAUUAUCACGAGAGUUUAGGUAAACAUCUACGAGAGUUUAGAUGAUAAAUCAAAGCGCGUGUUGAAGAUGGAUCCCAAAAUAUAUUCCGAAAUUUUAGAUUAUAAAUGCAAAUGCAUUUAUCCUGAUGUCUUGUCCAAGCAGGAAAAUGAGCUGUGUAGUAUGUUGUAUGUCCAGGUGAGAGUCCUGCUCUGGAAGAAUUGAGUGUUGAAUGUACACCAUUCAGAGAUCAAAUUUUAGAUUUUUAGAUUUAUUUAUUUUUAAUUACGGUCAGAAACCGUAUGUUGGCAUGCAAACCACCUGACUGCAAUGCACUCAGGUGGUGUAAGCAUCAAAUUAAACACAAAGCCAAACAAAAGGUUAGUUGGCUAUUACACUAUACUAAACUAUAUUAUAGGGUUCACUAUUCUAUAAUGUUAAUGUUGCCGUUUUGUUUUGUAAUGUUCUAAACUAGGCCCUACAUGUCUUUGUCAUAAGGUAAUUAUCUACAAUUUCACAGACAAUGAACUGUAUUAUGUGCGUCGCAAGGCGACAUCUACUGCCAGUACAACCAAAGUUGUCUGUGGAAAAGAGGAGGCAGAUGCAAUUUUCGCCGAGUUCCACAGCAGCAGCAUCGCAGCAAAAGACCAGAGAUGCCAUCUCUGCCAGAUUUUAUUGGCCUGGCAUGUCUUCAGAGAUUGACUCAUGGGUGGCACAGUGUGUUCCAUGCCAGGCCAACACAAUGACCAUAAAGCGUGAGGUGGAGUAUAUACCCAUCACAGUUAAAGAGCCAUUUGAGCUGGUCGGAAUGGACCUCAUUGGGAAGCUGACAGUCACCGACAGUGGGAACCAGUACAUUUGCGGACAUGUACAUGGUGGACUACCUCACUAAGUGGCCACAAGCUUAUGCCCUUCCAUCAAAUACAGCAAAAGAAGUCACUGGGUGUCUCUUGAAGUUUGUGCACCAAUUUGAAGCACCUAAGAGAGUCCUCACAGACCAGGGGAAGGAGUUUGUAAAUGCUCUCAACAAAAAUGUUUGUGAAGUAUUGAAAAUCAAAAGGAGUCUUUGUGCUCCGUAUCAUCCACAAACCAAUGGUUUAGUGGAAAGGAUGAAUGCAACCAUACAGAGAGCACUUUGCAAACUGGUCGGAAACAACCCCAAGGAAUGGGACAUGCAUCUCGAUGCUGUAAUGUUUGGCCUAAGGACAAAAAAACAAAUGACCACUAAUUUCUCUCCAUUCUUUAUGAUGUUUGGAAGAGAGGCGCGAUAUCCAUCCCAGAUCCCAGAGCAGUACCAGAUUGACAGCAGUGUCGAGGAUUGUGGCCAAAGACAACCUGACCGACUCUGCCCUCAAUAUCAGCAAAAUUCUCUCGUGUGCUGAGGGGAACACCAAGAAAGCACAAGAGAAGAUGAAGAGGAUGUCCCUAAAAUCAUCGAUGCAGAAAUUCAAUGUUGGUGACAUGGUCUGGAGGUUGAACAUUAGGAGCCGGUAAAGGAAAGGAGGCAAGCUGGACCCCAAUUUCCUGGGGCCAUACACUGUGUUGUCAGUUGAGAACAAAAGUGCUGACUUGGUGGAUGUGAAUGGUGUUGUCUUUCCAAAGAUCAAUAUUGACCACCUGAGGCAUCACCAUGCACAGAGUCCUCACAUCCCCCAAAAUUUGAAGGGAAACCUCAAGCUAGCCGGCACCACAGUGGCAGCAUCCACCCCAGCGUCCACCGCUACAGCAGCAGCAUCCACCCCACCACCAUCCACCCCAGCACCAGCAUCCACCCAACCAACAUCCACCCCACCAGCAUCCACCCCACCAGCAUCCACCCCAGCACCAGCAUCCACCCCACCACCAGCAUCCACCCCACCAGCAUCCACCCCAGCAUCCCCAGUCACAGACCCAGCAAAAUGUGUAGAAGAAGCUUGGCAGGGAACAGAUGUCUAUGUGCUGCUCUCAAAAAUAGGGCCAUACCUAAUCUUCUUUGCCGACAUCGCAAGAACCGCUCCAGAUAUGGAGUUUGAGAGUGAGGUCAUGAAUGCCUACAUGCAGCUACUGGUGCGAGGCUUUAAUGUGAAGUCAACCGACAGGGCUAUGGCAAUUGACACAUUCGAGAUGUCCAACAUAUGGAAAAGGAAACAACCAAAAGUGAAGCUGGAUCCACACAUGUACAAGUACAUCCUUGGGAUCAUCAAUGAGAACCACCACUGGAAACUCACUGUCAUGAUCCCAUCACAAAAAAAGGCUCUCUUACUCGAUCCUCUUGGGGAAUCCAGUACCGACAUAAAUAGUUGCAAAGAUGUAACAAGAGCCUUCAUGAGACUUAGGGGGAUUAAUGUGUCCAGAUGGGGAUGCGACACAGUCCCACACCCUCGUCAGACUGACAGUACCUCCUGCGGGCCCUUUGUAUUGAAAAUCACAAUGGCAAAGGCGAGAAAGACACAGGGAGAGAGGCAGGCAAAGGAUAAGACGAGGAAAUUAAAUCAGUGGAAGCAGGACAGGAUGAAAGGAGCAAUAGAGGAGUACAGGCAGGUCAUUCAGAAUGGUGGGGUCCCUAACCUGAGACUGCUGGCUAGGGCCUGGAACGUACCCAACUCUACUCUCCAGCGCAGGGUAAAAGGUAGUGGUCACUCGGAGCACACAAUAGGGAGAAAGCCGAUCAUCAGCAGUGGGGAUGAGGUAGAGCUUGGGGAGAUGCUAGUCACAUUAGCAAAACGAGGAUUCCCCCUGAGGAUGAGUGAAACACAGCAACUGGCCUACCAGUUUGCAACCAAGAAAGGAAUCAGGGGAUUCAGUGACGUAAAGGGAAAGGCUGGUUACAAGUGGUUUAGGGUUUUUUUGAGGCGCAACCAGAAAAUCAGGAUCAGGAAACCUGAGGCUCUCUCAGCCAACAGAGCUGCUGGAUUCAACCGCACUGUUGUAAAUACGUGGUUCCAAAAAUAUCAGGACACAAUUGACAGACUGGGG